rfam:Picea glauca, whole genome shotgun sequence.
UGCUUACAUCAUAGCGUUAAUGCACUAAAUCCCAUUAGAAAUCCAUAGUUAAGCGUGGAGUAGUACUGGGAUGGGUGACUGCCCAUGAAGUCCUAUUAGUUUACAUGC